rnacentral:rRNA from 1 species
GACGUUAGCUGCAGAAGAAGCACCGGCUAACUCCGUGCCAGCAGCCGCGGUAAUACGGAGGGUGCGAGCGUUAAUCGGAAUUACUGGGCGUAAAGCGCAUGCAGGUGGUUUGUUAAGUCAGAUGUGAAAGCCCGGGGCUCAACCUCGGAAUUGCAUUUGAAACUGGCAAACUAGAGUACUGUAGAGGGGGUAGAAUUUCAGGUGUAGCGGUGAAAUGCGUAGAGAUCUGAAGGAAUACCGGUGGCGAAGGCGGCCCCCUGGACAGAUACUGACACUCAGAUGCGAAAGCGUGGGGAGCAAACAGGAUUAGAUACCCUGGUAG